GUUAGACGAGUUGAGAGACCACUUCAGUGUUAUGGGAGCGAAUAGGCACUAAUACUUUGAAAUACUUUUGUUUGGUUCUUUGAUUUUUUUUUAAAUAUAUUUCUUCUACUGAAAUGUAAGAGUCCCCCUAUGACUGAGUUGUUAGUGUUCUUGGCAAACAGGGGCCUUCAUGGUGCUUUGAUCAGCACAGGACAUGGAGUUAUUUUUGUUUUUCAGAUGCGAGAUCUAAAAGCUGUGGGAAGGAAAUUUAUGCAUGUUUUAUAUCCAAGGAAGAGUAAUGCACUGUUAAGAGACUGUGAGUAUAUGAGGUUUUUGAGGAUUUCUUUCAAACCAUUGAUAGUUUAUUGGUUCUGCUUUAUAAAGCAAAGGAAAAAGUAAUAAGGCGGAUGCUGCUGUUUUGCAGGACUAAACAGUUCUGUAAAUGAAAUUGUUGGCAGAAGUUUAGAACAGAAUUUCAGAAGUUGAGAGGCCUGGCUCAUCAUAUUAAGUUCACCAAUAAACAUGAACGUAGAACCUGCUCACAGUUGAAUUUGCUAAUGUGAUUUGGCUGUCGUUAGGAAUCCAAGGUGAUUGAGAUUCUCUCUAGGCCCUGACAUCACAGGCAGAAUAUCUUACUUGAAUAUUGUGUCCAUGUGGAGAACAGAUUGUCCAUAGCUCUUAAUGUGCUAGAAUGGGGAUUAGGAAAUGAAGAAAGGGUAAUUUAUGACACGUGAAAAUAACAAACCUUAAAGGAUAUAUGAAGUAAGGGAGGGAAACAGAAAGGUUGGGAAGGCUUAGGUAAACCUUGCUGCUAGGAUUCUGAGUGGAAGGUAAGUAAUUAGGUAAAGAUAGAAAAUAUGGCAUAUUGGUUUCUUAGCAUCUUGUCUUUCCUCUCAUUGUAGGGGACCUGUGGGGCCCAUUGAUACUUUGUGUGACACUUGCAUUGUAAGUAUUUAUACUUCUUCCUCACUGGAGCCUGUUUUUGUUUAGUUUUGUUUUAAUGGGCUUUCCAGAAUUAAGGAAAAAAUUGACUAGGCCUUUAGGGCGUCUUCUAUUUUUUUUAAUUUAUUUAUUAAGAAAGAAAAGAUAAGAGUUGUAGUAUGUAGCCCACACUAUCCUGGAACUUUCUGUGUAGCCCAGGCUGGCCUCAAACUUGUGCUUCUCCUGCUCCAACUUCUGAGUCCUAGUAUUUCAAGUAUGCACCACCACACCAUAACUUAAAAUUUAUAUUUAUUGUAUACUCAUUUAGAUUAUAAUGUAGUUUCACUUUCUUGUUCUUUUAAUAAUCACAUCAAGGAAACUGGUUCUGUGCCUUGAAAGGAUAUGUGUUAAGAGCUCUUGAAAAAAUAUAUAUAUUGCUGAGUUUUAAAAGAUUAACCUUAGAGCAUAUGUAGUUUCACUACACUUAUUUUCAGAGACAACUGUAGGCCUAAAAUGAACUCACGUGACAUGUCUAGUGAUAGUACUAGCAUCAGUAUUGGGUCCCUUGCCUCCCAGCUUAGUUCAUAUUCUUGCCACCUGACCAUACUCAAGUGAUAGGGGUUCCAGAGAACAGAUUCCAGCACAUUCUCUGUACCCAGUGCUCCGGACUUGGAAUAGAACACACACAGCCGUAGAAUACAAACGCCUGCACAUACUAUCAGGCAGUGUAACCGGGUAAGACUUAAUAUAUAACAUCUUUAUCCUAUGUAAUAUGAGGUUAUGGACUUUUUUAUUAUUUUUCAGGAAAAACAUACUGAGUCUAAGUAUUCUAAGUUCAGAAUUCAAAACAUUUUACAUCUAUUAAAUUUUUAGAUGCAGAAUAUUUAAGUGACAGUUCAGUAUUUACUCAGCUUCAAGGCAAAGGUUUUUAGAAAUUUUAUAUGUGUUUAUGUGUGUAUGUGUGUAUUAUAUAUGUAUGUGCGUGUGUGUGUAUAUAUAUAUAUAUAUAUAUAUAUAUAUAUAUAUAUAUACUGAUUUUUAAAAAUCAGCAACGAAAUAAGUUUAAAGAGUAUUUCUGCUAUUAAGCAUUCGCUCUAAAACCUUAGUGCACGAAUUAGAAAUUCAUAGCUGAGCAUGCUGCCUGUAACCCUGGCACUUAAGAAGCUGAGGCAAGAAGAUGACAGGUUAGAGGCUUAGCCUAGGCCACACAACUAGACCUUGUUU
rnacentral:lncRNA from 1 species